GGAGCUCAGCGGUAGAACACCUGCCUUUGCAUGCAGAAGGUCCUGGGGUCAAUCCCCAAAAUCUCCA